GAAGAUAUGUUAAUCCCUCUCUCAACUCAAGACAUAGCUACUGGGACUCAUGUGAUGCAAGAGAGUAUUGAUAAACCCUUCGUUCAAGCUACACAAAAUGCAUGGGACAUUACCAUAAGACAAGAGAAAGAAGAAUCACACCACUCAAAUAUUUACCUUAGU